rnacentral:rRNA from 1 species
UACGGAGGAGGCAAGCGUUAUCCGGAAUUAUUGGGCGUAAAGCGUCCGCAGGUGGCGAUUCAAGUCUGCGGUUAAAGAUUGGGGCUUAACCCUGGAAAGGCCGUGGAAACUGAAACGCUAGAGUGCAGUAGGGGUAGAGGGAAUUCCCGGUGUAGCGGUGAAAUGCGUAGAGCUCGGGAAGAACAUCGGUGGCGAAAGCGCUCUGCUGGACUGCAACUGACACUCAGGGACGAAAGCUAGGGGAGCGAAUGGG